AGCCCGAAGAAAUUCGGAUUAAUGCUCCAUGAGACCACAAUACCGCAUGAUAUAGUGGUAAAAGCUCCGGCGGUCAAAGAUGGGCAUGCGUGCCAUUAGUUAGUUGGUGAGGUUACGGCUCACCAAGACAACGAUGGCUAGGGGGUCUGAGAGGAUGAUCCCCCACACUGGUACUGAGACACGGACCAGACUCCUACGGGAGGCAGCAGUGAGGAAUAUUGGUCAAUGGACGCAAGUCUGAACCAGCCAUGCCGCGUGCAGGAUGAAUGCCCUAUGGGUUGUAAACUGCUUUUCUACAAGAAGAAACUUCCUGAUGUAUCAGGAACUGACGGUAUUGUAGGAAUAAGCAUCGGCUAACUCCGUGCCAGCAGCCGCGGUAAUACGGAGGAUGCAAGCGUUAUCCGGAUUCAUUGGGUUUAAAGGGUGCGUAGGCGGGGUAGUAAGUCAGUGGUGAAAGCCUGCGGCUUAACCGUAGAAUUGCCAUUGAUACUGCUAUUCUUGAGUGCAGUUGAGGUAGGCGGAAUGUGUACUGUAGCGGUGAAAUGCUUAGAUAUUACACAGAACACCGAUUGCGUAGGCAGCUUACUAAACUG
rnacentral:rRNA from 1 species